rnacentral:rRNA from 1 species
UACGUAGGGUGCAGGCGUUAAUCGGAAUUACUGGGCGUAAAGCGUGCGCAGGCGGUUUCUUAAGUCAGAUGUGAAAGCCCCGGGCUUAACCUGGGAACUGCGUUUGAAACUACAAGGCUAGAGUGUGGCAGAGGGGGGUGGAAUUCCACGUGUAGCAGUGAAAUGCGUAGAGAUGUGGAGGAACACCGAUGGCGAAGGCAGCCCCCUGGGCUGAGAUUGACGCUCAGGCACGAAAGCGUGGGGAGCAAACAGG